GCCCGGCACCCCGGCGGCCCCGCUUCGACGCCCGGGGGCGCGGAGGGGGGACCCUGGCCCGGGCGGGAGAAGGGCGGGGCCGCCCUCGGAGCGAUGCAACAGGUGCCGCGGGCGGGCGAGCCGGCGGCACCCGGCUGGCAGAGGCGGCCGCGCGAGCCCCGCCGGGAGACCCCAGCCUCACUGCAACAUGGCGGCGAGCCGCGCCCCGCCGGCACCUGCCGCCCGCGGGCCGGGCGGUUGCCAAGCUGGAGGGCGGGAGGGGGAAGGAAGACCCUUUGCUGCUCCUGCGUGGGCACCUCGUGUGCUUGAUCGCUGGUCUCUAACAGCUGCUGUGUUUUUUGAAGCCCCAAAUCAAUUACUUCAAACAAAAGGCAGGAUGGAUUUCUGUAUUAACGCACGUUUUCAGCAUGAAAUAAGAGUUUGAAAAUCCACCUAAGUUUUGAAACUACAAAGUGACAAGGCUACUUCAGCUGGCCGUGCUCUUGCAUCAAGACCACAAAAGAUGGUGCAACCAAUCUACCAAUUCACAGACACAAAGAGAUGAAACACUGUCUGUGCCUGUGCCCCCUGCUUCUCGCCCUUCAUCCACUGCCAUGCUCCUGCAGAGUCCCCAGGCGCUUUACCUGCAAUAGCUGUGGCCUCCUGCCCGCUGGGGUGUGAGAACAGAUCGUAUUUACGUUGUCACGGGCAACGGACCAUAGGACACAGGUCUUCCGGUGCGCCGGCAAUGGCAUGCAGGUAAGAUGUGAGAUUAAGGCAACGUGCAGAUCCAAGCUGUUGUCUUCAGUAUCCUCACUUCAAGAAAAGGCAUGAGACAGGAACAGGAAGCUUCAAAACAAGGUAACAGCCAGCAGGUGUCAAAGAUACAGGGCUGUGGAGACCCUGGGGAAUGCCAAGGAAUGGUAACAAAAACACAGCCCUGCAUUUUUCUCCAGGUCCUGUAUCAGAGACGGUGCUAGGCAGUUACUGGUAGUGCUACGUUCAAGUAAAAGAAUUGCCUCUGCUUCAGGUCUGAGAGAAGGGAGGGAAGCAGAGACUGACAGAAUGGGCAGCUAUUUUCCCUUCCUGUUGUGUGAUCCUAGGAAGCAGGAGAAGGCUUUACCAUCAAAACUGAACCAUGUGUGCAGCAGCUUGCAAUAGCAGGUGAGAAGAAACAAUCAAAGCUAAAUGGCUUCUGAGGGAGAUGAAAUAAAACAUUUUUGGGAAACAGCUGCAGCCUCUGUUUUCAGAUAGGACAAUCCCACUGAGAUUAACUUUAAUCAGAUUAAUUUAACAAUGUAUGGUUUGUGAGGAGACUUCCUCUUUUAAGCAAUAAGUUUGUGGUUGGACUCAUGCCUUAUUCAGUAGGAUGGUACUGGAUGUGGACCAGACCAGAACAUCACUGUUUUAGGCAGACUGCCGAGCCCAAGAAACAAUUGUAAGGAAUACUGUAAGAACCUAGUUGUUGCAGCUUUCACUCAGAACCCUAUGUGGUGGUCUUGGGUUAUUUUUGGUGGGUACAUAGAUGCAAAAAGCAUAUAGGUAUUUUCAUUCCUUGCUGUUAAUGCCAUAUUUUUGCUUGACUGAAAAAAGAAUUUUUAUUACAAUUACCAUUGCUUCCUAACUACAAAGAGGCAGAGGCAAAAGGAAUUUAGGUGACUAAUAAUUAAAUGUGGCAACGUACAAUCUCUAGGUUCCUGUUUGCCACAGCACAUAACCCUGUGCCAUUCUCCCACAAUCACCUGCAAUAUAUGGGGAAAGAUAGAUACCUCAACGGUAUCCAUAACUACCAGCUUACUCAACACCACUCCACCCAAACCCAACCAACGAGAACAUGCUGAACCUAUACAGGCAGAACUGUCGUCUAUGGAAGGCGAGAGAACAAUUGCCAGGUUUCCAAGACCCCACUGGAUAAACACUGAGCAACUUGGUCUGAGCAUCAGGAACUUGUUUUAUUAAGGAUGAGAAACUGGGAGUAUUUUUCAUUGCUGUGAUCUUAAGGAAUGAACAGCCUCACCAGAAGACACUUUGCAAGAGCCAGAUGAAAUCUCUCAGGAGUCGCUGGGUAUCUAAUCUCCUGCCUCUUUUACUGAGAUUCCCCACCUUUCUGUUUCUAGCAACAGACAUUACAGAGAACUCUUGAAAAUGGUUCCUCAGAGGACUUUUUUCUUCAUAGACUUCCAAAACCAGAGUCUGAACGUUUAAGUUUCAGCUUGCAUUGAAGAAUAAACAGUUCUUGGAGGAGUUAACUUUGAUAAGGAAAGUGCAAAAAAGGGUGCUGAUAGCAUGUCCACCAAGCAGCUACACAGAAAACAUGUCUUGUGUUUCAUAGCCUGUUCCUUCUGAGGGGCAGUGCAAAACAGAGACCUCUGGAGCUGUUAGGUUUGGAGAAUGAUGCUCUGCUUCUAGCUAUGCCAGGAAUGGGCUUGAGAUAUUAUUCCAUCUAUAACAGAAUGGGCUAAAGGCAGAAGUUUAACAUACGGAAUUAAUUUUCUUCUGUGCAUAUUAUUCUGUGCAUUGUGAACUUCUGGAAAGUGUUCUAACUCAGGCCACUCAAGCUUCACUUGAUACAUGUCCAUAAUGACCUCGUAGGGCUUUGGUUGUUCUAAACCCAGGCUCAGUACACAAUACUAAUACUGACUCCUGGUCAGAUUGUUCUCAAGGCCAGCAAGCAUUGUAUUUACAAUGUGAGGAGCCAGCGGCUGAGUUCACAGAAUCACAGAAUCACAGAAUCACAGAAUCACAGAAUCACAGGUCACUGAACAGAGUCCUCAUUAAAAUCCUGGGCUUCAUGGUCUUACCACUGCACCUGCUGAGUAUUUCCAUGCUGCAUCUCAGAUCUGUCUUGAGCCAUUUAAAAAAGCUGAAUUGCUUCAGCCUAUUUUUACAAAGAUUGGACGAAAAAAUCAUCAGUCAUCUUUUCUGAUAUCCUGGCAGACAAAUCUCAUCCCCUCCUUGCUAUGCAGUCAGAAUUUGGCAUUCUCGCCUUGCACCACCUUCAUGGAGCUGUGUCAGGGAAGGUCAGGUUGGGUGUUAGGAAAAGGUUCUUCAGCAGAGGGUGAUGAUGGGCAUGGCACAGACCCCCCUGGGCUGUGGUCAUGGCCCCAAGCUGUCAGGGCUCAAGGAGUCUCUGGACAGCUCUCUCAGACAUAGGGUUUGAAUUUUGGGUGGUGCUGUGUGGAGCCAGGGGUUGGACUCCACGAUUCUUGUGGGUCCCUUGCAACAAGGGGUACACUGUGAUUCUGUUCUAUGGUCUUGAGGUACCUCAGAUGAGAAAUUGGUGAAGCGGUGCUGUGCAGCUCUGAUACACUGCGGUAUGAGGUGAAGCUUUUGCGCAUGGGUGGGCAAGAGGCUGGACCUCUGUGUUUUGUGGCUCUCAUGGAAACCUUCCUGUAGGAAGGUAGAAGGAAAAAAAAAAAAGUGGCAGAACCAAACUGCUGAAAACUAGAAGUUAUUAUCUGGACCAAAUCUUCCAAGAAGUUUAUAUCCCAUAUGGGCUCCAGAAAUAUCUAGGAAAUUAUUCAGAAGAUCUCAAGUGCUGGCUGCUCUGAGAACAUACCUGUGGGCACUCUUCCCAAGGAAAUCCUGUCUCAUGGCUCUUUGGAAAUUAUGGGAUACUCCUUUCUCACUGGUGUUCCACAUCUGAAGUUGGAUACACAGGCAAGAAACAGAUUGCAUGUCAUGCACUCUGUAAAAAUCCAAAUGCAAAGCAGCCACCUGAAAAAAAAAAUCCAAAUGCAAAGCAGCUACCUGAAAAAAAAAAUGCGCUCUGUGCCUUGAAAAAUGCAGGCUGCUGAGGACUCAUUGCCAAACUUGAUGCAGGGAGCUGUCUUGUUCUAUUUGUACUGCAUUACACCCGUUUAUCCUGCAGUCUCAGCAAUGUAGCCCAGUCAUUCGUCUCCCCACACUUCUGGCCACUUCCCAGGAGCAGAGCUGCCAGCAUUACCAUGACACCACUCACAUGUACAGUACUGACACCUUCUCCUCUUGGAGAGCUGGAGGGAGCACUCAGCAAACGUCCAGCUAUACAUUACAUUAUGCACUUGUAGCAAUAUUUCCAGACAGAUCUGGCUGCUGGGUGUCCUUGCAACAUGGGACAGCUCAAAGCCCUGGCUCCUUUCUGCACUGGGUUUUGGACUUAAUCUACCAGUGCACCAAUAUAUUGUGAUGUGCUGAGCUCUGUCAGGGCUGUUUAACAGAGGAGGCCAGAUAGAUAGAGGCCGGUCCUGCAAGUUCCUGUUUCCCUCCAGGGAAUGAUAUGAACUCCAAAUUUGGAAAUAAAACCCCAGGGAGACCCUCAGUAACAGCUGAAUGACUGAACCAACAUGCUUAGACCUAGGAUGGCUUCACCACUGCUGCACUCUGCUGGCCAUCAACACUGAAGACAUCGUUCCUUCAAGGCACAAAGGUUUUAUGUGUCCCGGCACAAAAACCUGGUGCUCUCUGUCACUAAAUCUCUUCCCAAGCAGAGACCGCUGAGCUGCACAGCACAUCUGCAGGCACGCAUUAAGUAAAACUCCUCCACUGUAGAACGCCUGCCAAGGGACCAAUUGAGCACACUUCCCAGUCCUCUGAUACAAUCCACAGAACAGCAGACAGCACACAGAUCAGAGGGUGCACAUACGUGCACAUGCACACCCUCACCCCAUGGUGGCUGUAGAACUGAAGUGCCGCAGGGGGACCCAGAAAGCCCAGCCAUAUUGCUGGAGAAAGCAGGGAGAGCCUACAGCGUUCUCAUGAAAUCAGGGACCAGUCUGUGACUCUAUCCUAUUCUUCAGCUCCAGCUCAAAGGACACCAGUACCGUUUAGUUUGCCAAAAUGAAAUGUUUAUGGUUGCAGGAUGUAAAGAAUUGAUUUUCUAGCCCUUUUUCAGAAGCGAGGUUUGAAAACUGUGAUUUUUUUUUAAAAAAAGAACAAAACCUUUCUGAAGUCAAGCUCCCAAGGCCCUGAACUUUCAUGAUUUUAAUGGUCUGUGUUGUUAGACAUUAUUUUUGUAGAGUUUUUCUUAUGCUUGCCAAGGCUGCCAUGAUAGGCAGUGCUCUUAUGUGCUGCACUUUUGGUUGGGUUUGGCACCACUCUUCUCUGUGUGUGCAUGCUCCCUGUGCUGGGCUGCCCAGGGUGCAGUUACCUCUCUUCCUAGCAGCUUGUGUGGUGGUGUGCUUUGCAUUUGUGGCUAACACUGUAUCGAUAACACACUGUGUUCUGACUGCUGCUGAACAGUACUCCUACAGCAUCAAGGCUUUUCUUUCUCUCUCUUCUCUUCCUUUCCCCCAGAUUAAGCAGGCUGGGCUGCACAGGAGGUUGGGAGGGGACACAGCUGACUGUAGCUGACGGAGGGGACUCUCCCUGCCAUAUAGUGCUGCACUCAGCAAUAAACUCUCAGGGCAAGAAGGAACAUUCGUGGUUACAGAGUUUGUCUUCCCAUGCAAUCAUGAUGCAUAUGUAAAGCCUGCUUCCCAGAGAGGGGCUGGACAUCUGCCUGCCGAUGAGAAGCAGUGAAUGAGUUCCACUUUUUGCUGUGCUUUGUGCACAGCGUUUGCUUUUCUUACUAAAUUGUCUUUGAAUAUCAGCAACACAAGGAACACACGUGCCCUGCACAGUUCCUGCCCCGCUCAGGUGGCACACACGGUGCCAUUAGGGACACCUGAGGGGAGCUGUCAGCAUAAGGAAUGGCAGCAGAGCCUGGGGCUCAGCAUGUACAAGACGUGGCAGAUGGAGUGCAAAAGCAAAGGGCUGGCUGGCAGCAGGCGCUUUGGGAAGGGGCCCUCACGUGAGCUCAUCUCCCGUUUUAUUGGGCUGUGCUCCAGACUGCAUUCUCACUUCUUUUUUUUUCUUACGUAUCUGCAAGUGAAAGCUUGCAUAAACGUCUAACUUCUCAGUCUUGUAUCAAUGUCAAAUUAGUGGUUUUUAUUAUCUAAAUUGGUGACUACCUGAUUUAAUUAGGCUUCACAUUACAUGACUGUAAGUCGAUGAUCCUUACGGGUGCCUUCCAACUUGAGACGUUCUGUGAUUCUAUGACUCUAUGUUGAGGCUUUGUGCAGAACAAAGCAUGCUUUGUUUUCAGCAUUAGCAGCAAAAGAAUCAUAAACUGUAAGAAAUAAGACAAGCGCGCUUCCAGUCCCGAUUUUCAUCUUCUUUCUUCAGUUGCCACCUUCUGAAAUUCUCAGGUACCUUAUAUGCUGAUGACUCUGGCCAAGACAUUUUGUGAGCUUAAAAAAAAUGCCUUCUUUUUGCAGUGAUCAGGAAAACAUUUCUGGUGUAAACAUCAAUGGACAUAAAAUAAUGGUCUGUCACUCCUCUGGAGGCCUGAAGACACGAGUUAAUCUGUCAGACUUGAGCUCAUAUCAAACAAUGAGCAAAUAUGUAUGUGCAGUAAUAAAUCACUCCUGAUCA